GCGACCUUUAUGCCCAACUGCCGCAGGUUUUAAGCCAAAAAAUAUUCAGCGCUUUGUCAAUUUCUCAAAAAUUCAUUUGGCCCAAGUAUUUUCGUCUCCCUCUUUCUCAAUAUCAUUCUCCCUCCCACAACUUCAAACCCUAAAACCUAAUUUUUUUUUUUCAAUCUCACUUUCUCUCAAUCUGAAACCUAUAGAUCUUCAUCACUCUCACACUCAAUCUCAAGAUCUUCAUCACUCUCACACUCAAUCUCACUUUCCUUUAAUAUCACUCUUACCCUCGGUUUUGUCAAUUUCACCGGCGCUCAAUCUCACUCUCACCCUCGGUUCCCUCAAUAUCACUCUCAAUCGACGAAGAUUCAUCGUUAAUCUGACUCUCUCACUACCACCCUCGCCUAUCACCACCAAUUUGUUCAUUUCAUCCUCGCCUAUCACCCUCAAUCGCAGAAAUUCAAUCAACUCACAUUUUUACUAGUUAAUUUCUUAAUUUGAGUAUUUUUUUCUGUUAAUUUCUAAAUUCUUUUAAUUGUGCGUAAUUUCUUAUUUCAGUUUCGCGAUCUCAGUUCUGUGCAAUUGGGGUUCUUCGUGGGUUUCACCGUGGUUCACAGUUCUUCAGCUCUCCUACUUCAGUUUAUCAAGGUAGUGCUUUUCACUCUUCAAGCACAAUUGAGAACGCAUCAUCCAAUAUAGGCUCUAAAGUUAUAAGGUACAGCAAGAUAUUUGACGACAUCAUUUUGGCUAAUGAUGUCGACUCACUUCUCAGUUUCGUUAUGGCAAGUGACAAGAUCAUGGAAUGAAAGAUUGUUCUAGAGGUUAGUAACAAUAUGCAUAAUGAUCUUCUCUUUU